GCCUACGGGGCGCAGCAGUAGGGAAUCUUCCACAAUGGGCGAAAGCCUGAUGGAGCAACGCCGCGUGGGUGAAGAAGGUCUUCGGAUCGUAAAACCCUGUUGUUAGAGAAGAAAGUGCGUGAGAGUAACUGUUCACGUUUCGACGGUAUCUAACCAGAAAGCCACGGCUAACUACGUGCCAGCAGCCGCGGUAAUACGUAGGUGGCAAGCGUUAUCCGGAUUUAUUGGGCGUAAAGAGAACGCAGGCGGUCUUUUAAGUCUGAUGUGAAAGCAUUCGGCUUAACCGGAGUAGUGCAUUGGAAACU
rnacentral:rRNA from 1 species